rnacentral:lncRNA from 1 species
AACUGAUAGCUAAAAUGAUAUUUAAUAGAAAUUCAUAUGGUAGAAUUUCAUUUUUUCUUUUCCAUUUAGUCAUCAAAACUACAUGAUAGACAGUAUAAAAUGAAAACAGAUGAAAUGAAUUUCCACAUGGGUUCUGCCAAGUUUCAUCUUCUCAGUGAGUCCUGAGGAAGUCCAGAAUCCAUUCCCGCAAGUAUGACUGGAAUCUGCAGAAUCUGUGAAUUACUUCUUCAUUCUGCCAACUGACAAACUGCUAAAUGUGCAGGAACACGAGGCAAUGGAAGGUACACAGCAUUUGUGGAUUUUUGCUACCAGGAAUGGUUUUGACUGUGUAAUAAGAGAUAUACAGUUGCUCUCCUCUAUCCAUGGGGAAAAGUGCCAAACAAAUGACAGGUGGUGAGAAUUGGGUACGUGACCAUGACUGCUUAUGCUAGUGUCAAAUGGACUGAUAAAGAGUUGAACAAUGAAUGAUUUUACUUUGCUUCCAACAAUAUCAAAGGCCAAGAAAUACAAAACUAACUAUUUUCCAGGCAGCAUACGUCCGGAAGGAUGGCAUUUGAUAACAGGUGCU